ensembl:misc_RNA Metazoa_SRP Metazoan signal recognition particle RNA
GCUGGGCACAGUGGCACGUGCCUGCAGUCCCAGCUACUCAGGAGGCUGAGGCUGGAAGAUCUCUUGAGCCCAGGAGUUCUGGGCUGUAGUGCACCUGAUCUGGCCGAUCAGGUGUCUGCACUAAGUUUGGCAUCAAUAUGGUGACCUCCCGGGAGCGGAGUACCACCAGAUUGCCUAAGGAGGGGUGAACCAGCCCAGGUUCGAAACGGAGCAGGGCAAAACUCCCGUGCUAAUCAGUAGUGGGAUCGCGCCUGUGAAUGGCCACUGCACUCCAGCCUGGGCAACAUAGCGAGACCCCCUCUCUU